GACGAACGCUGGCGGCGUGCUUAACACAUGCAAGUCGAACGGUAAGGCCCUUCGGGGUACACGAGUGGCGAACGGGUGAGUAACACGUGGGUGAUCUGCCCUGCACUUCGGGAUAAGCCUGGGAAACUGGGUCUAAUACCGGAUAGGACCACUGCCUGCAUGGGUGGUGGUGGAAAGCUUUUGCGGUGUGGGAUGGGCCCGCGGCCUAUCAGCUUGUGGGUGGGGUGAUGGCCUACCAAGGCGACGACGGGUAGCCGGCCUGAGAGGGUGACCGGUCACACUGGGACUGAGAUACGGCCCAGACUCCUACGGGAGGCAGCAGUGGGGAAUAUUGCACAAUGGGCGCAAGCCUGAUGCAGCGACGCCGCGUGAGGGAUGACGGCCUUCGGGUUGUAAACCUCUUUCAGCACCGACGAAGCGCAAGUGACGGUAGGUGCAGAAGAAGGACCGGCCAACUACGUGCCAGCAGCCGCAGUAA
rnacentral:rRNA from 1 species